GAUGAACGCUAGCUACAGGCUUAACACAUGCAAGUCGAGGGGAAACGAUAGAGAAAGCUUGCUUUUCUAGGCGUCGACCGGCGCACGGGUGAGUAACGCGUAUCCAACCUGCCCACCACUUGGGGAUAACCUUGCGAAAGUAAGACUAAUACCCAAUGACGUCUCUAGAAGACAUCUGAAAGAGAUUAAAGAUUUAUCGGUGAUGGAUGGGGAUGCGUCUGAUUAGCUUGUUGGCGGGGUAACGGCCCACCAAGGCGACGAUCAGUAGGGGUUCUGAGAGGAAGGUCCCCCANAUUGGAACUGAGACACGGUCCAAACUCCUACGGGAGGCAGCAGUGAGGAAUAUUGGUCAAUGGAC
rnacentral:rRNA from 1 species